rnacentral:rRNA from 1 species
AUGGCAAAAUAUUUCUGCAGCAGCUCUAUUGACAAAAAUGCUAUGCAUUGGGUGUCCUGGAAGAAUUUGGCCACACCUAAGUGCCAAGGUGGUAUGGGGUUUCGUGACCCCCAUCAGUUCAAUCUUGCGUUACUGGGAAAGCACGGUUGGCGCUUUAUGACUAACCCUAAUUCUUUGUGUGCAAGAGUAAUGAAGGGACGCUACUUUCAUGACACAGAUUUCUUGCAUGCAACCACUCCAAAAUCAGCAUUAGCUACUUGGCGAGCUAUCAUUGCUGGCAGGAAAGCUUUGCAAGCGGGCCUUAUCAAAAGAGUGGGUGACGGGAGUUCAAUCCAUGUGUGGCAUGACAAGUGGAUUCCUGGAACUAUAUCCAUGUCACCCUUGCUGCAACCUCCAAACACCACGGUUCAGACAGUCUCGGACCUCAUCGAUACCGAGAACUGGACAUGGAGACAGGAUCUAGUCAGGAUGACCUUCAUCGCCCCAGAUGCUGAUGCAAUUCUUAACAUCUCAAUCAGAAGGGGAGGAGAGGAUUUCUAUGCUUGGGCCUUUGAAAGAUCAGGCAACUACACUAUUAAAUCGGCAUACCGUGCUCUAAUGACUCAGAACGAGCGCUCUGCUCUAGAGGAAGGGACGGCUACCGGUGCUUCUCGAGAUGAAAACAGAUGUGGAUGGCCAUGUGGAAACUCAAAGUGA